rnacentral:lncRNA from 1 species
CUCCCCCCCGCCCCGCCAGGCCACGCCCCCGAAGGGCGCCGCCGACCAAUCAGGGCUCGGCUCCCGGGGAGGGGGCGGCCAAUGGGGGCUCGGGGGGGGCGCCGCCGGGGGUGGGGGCCGCCAUCUUGGGGGAGGCGGCCGCCAUCUUGCGGCCCGGGGCCACCGGGAUGGCCACCCAGGGGCCGACGGUGGCCACCGAGGGGUCGGAGGUGGCCAAGGAGGAGCCGGGAGCCCCCGGGAGGUCGAGGGAGGCCGUUUUAGGGCCGGCGGCGGCCGUUUCGGGGUCGACGGCGGCCAACGGGCAACCCCCGGCGGCCGCCGCCCGGCCUGCGGGGGCCACGGUGGCCCAAAGCGGGUCGGGGGUGGCCAAAGGGCGGUUGGAGGUGGCCAAAGAGGAGCCGGGAGCCCCCCGGAGGUCAACGGUGGACGUUUUGGGGUCAACGGAGGCCGGCGUAGGGUCGAGGGUGGCCAACGGAGAGGCGGCGGUGGCCAAGGAGGAGCCGGGAGCCCACGGGACGUCAAUGGCCACCGUCUUGGGGUCGACGGUAGCCACCGUGGGGUCGACGGUGGCCACUUCCGGGUCAACGGAGGCCAACGGAGAGGAGGCGGUGGCCACCGGCGGGUCAACGGUGGCCAAGGAGGAGCCGGGAGCCCACGGGACGUCAAUGGCCACCGUCUUGGGGUCAACGGUAGCCACCGUGGGGUCGACGGUGGCCAAGGAGGAGGCAGGAGCCCCCAGGACGUCGGCAUCCGCCGGCUUGGGGUCAACGGUCGCCAAUGGAGAGCCAACGGGGGUCGCCGCGGGGUCAUGGGCGGCCGCCUCCGGGUCGACGGUGGCCGCUCCGGGCUCAACGGUGGCCAAGGAAGACCCGACGGUGGCCAAGGAGGAGCCAGAAGGGCUUGGCAAGUCGGCGGCGGCCAUCUUGGGCUCAACGGCAGCCAACGGAGAGCCGGCGGUGGCCACCUCCGGGUCGACGGUGGCCAACGAAGACCCAACGGUGGCCAAUGAGGACCCAACGGUGGCCAAGGAAGACCCAACGGUGGCCAAGGAAGACCUAACGGUGGCCAAGGAGGAGGCAGAACCCCAUGGGACGUCAACGGUGGCCAUUUUGGGGCCAACGGUGGCCAAGGAGAAGGAGGAAGGACCCGGGAAGUCGACAGCGGCCAUCUUGGGCUCAACGCCGGCCAACGAAGAGCCACCGGUGGCCAACGAAGACCCAACGGUGGCCAAGGAGGUGCCAGAACCCCAUGGGAUGUCAACGGCGGCCAUUUUGGGGCCACCGGUGGCCAACAGAGCCCCACCGGUGGCCAAGGAGGAGGCGGAAGGAGCCGGGAAGUCGACGGCGGCCAUCUUGGGCUCAAGGCCGGCCAACGAAGAGCUGCCGGUGGCCAACGAAGACCCGCCGGUGGCCAAAGAGGAGGCGGAGCCCCUGCCCCGCCCCACGGCGGCCAUCUUGGAGCCCGGCCCCUCCCCGGGGGUGGCUUCCUGGGGUUCGCAGGGCAGCCUGGGCCCCGGGAUCCCGCCCCCCCGGGGAGGUGGGGGAGGGGACCUGGACUCGGUGAGUCUCCUCUCGGGGACCCUGGAGUCGCUGGUCGGGGGGGACGACGUCAGCUCCGUGGGUUCCGACUCGGAGGCGGCCGCCCCACAUCUCUACGGCCGCACCGACCGCUACGGCUUCUUGGGGGGCGCCCACUACGGCCAGGCCCCGUGAGUAUCCCCCCCCCACCCCCCCCGAAAAUGUGGGGCUUGGGGGGGGUGU